rnacentral:rRNA from 1 species
GAUGAACGCUGGCGGCGUGCCUAAUACGUGCAAGUCGAGCGAACAGACGAGGAGCUUGCUCCUCUGACGUUAGCGGCGGACGGGUGAGUAACACGUGGAUAACCUACCUAUAAGACUGGGAUAACUUCGGGAAACCGGAGCUAAUACCGGAUAAUAUAUUGAACCGCAUGGUUCAAUAGUGAAAGACGGUUUUGCUGUCACUUAUAGAUGGAUCCGCGCCGCAUUAGCUAGUUGGUAAGGUAACGGCUUACCAAGGCAACGAUGCGUAGCCGACCUGAGAGGGUGAUCGGCCACACUGGAACUGAGACACGGUCAAGACUCCUACGGGAGGCAGCAGUAGGGAAUCUUCCGCAAUGGGCGAAAGCCUGACGGAGCAACGCCGCGUGAGUGAUGAAGGUCUUCGGAUCGUAAAACUCUGUUAUGAGGGAAGAACAAAUGUGUAAGUAACUAUGCACGUCUUGACGGUACCUAAUCAGAAAGCCACGGCUAACUACGUG